rnacentral:rRNA from 1 species
UACGUAGGGGCAAGCGUUGUCCGGAUUUAUUGGGCGUAAAGAGCGUGUAGGCGGCCAAGCAGGUCCGCUGUGAAACUCGAGGCUCAACCUCGAGACGUCGGUGGAAACCAUCUGGCUAGAGUCCGGGAGAGGAGAGUGGAAUUCCGUGGUGUAGCGGUGAAAUGCGCAGAUAUCAGGAAGAACACCCGUGGCGAAAGCGGCUCUCUGGAACGGUACUGGACGCUGAGACGCGAAAGCGUGGGGAGCGAACAGG